CGUGGUUAAGGUAGAGAACCGUGGAGUGCUGCAACUUUGUGGUUUGUUUCACUAUGGCCUCCACCACAUCAGGGUGACAGUGCCCGCAGCACACUGUCGCAAUCCCUCCAAAGGCGUCCACGUAUCUUCUUCCCUUUUCAUCAAACAGGUACUGUUUCUUUCCCUCCACUAUGUUCACCUGCACCCACAAACCACUGCUUUAUCACUACUAUACAUUUCUAAAUAAAUUAAUCUUUAUUAUUCCUACGUUAUGCUCAUUGAAUAUUAAAAAUAUUAUUGUAAUUAAUUAAUUAAUUAUGAUUAGCAUUAAAUAAAUAUUCACAUCAUAUUUAUUGUUUUACGAAUAAAUAUUUGUCUAUACGAUUAAAAACCGCAUCCACUAAAAGAAUUUUUACAACCAAUUCAUUCAAUCACAAAUAAAAGAAAAAACUUUAAAUAUUUGUACUCCUCCAUUAAAGCCUAUUAAAUAAAAAAAUGACUACAACUCUUUAAAAAAUAAUUGUUUAUUUAAAAAUUAGUAGGAGAAUUAACACAUAUAUACCGAAUGAUAAUGUAUUAUUACUGUAAAAUUGUUUUUAAUUGAUUACAAAUUAACAUGAAAAAUAAUUUUAUCAAAUUUUGUAAAUACGAUAUAUAUAUAUAUAUAUAUAUAUACUUAAUCAUAUUUUUUUGAUGNNNNNNNNNNNNNNNNNNNNNNNNNNNNNNNNNNNNNNNNNNNNNNNNNNNNNNNNNNNNNNNNNNNNNNNNNNNNNNNNNNNNNNNNNNNNNNNNNNNNCAACUCCAACGUGGAGGAAUUGCUUUGUCGCUUCCUUACCCCGCCUAUGCAACUGUGCUAUCUGCAAGAAUGCUCUUAGAACCUUCUCCGGGAACUUCAAACGCAACCUGCAAAACACACAGACGGCGCCUCUAGCGGCCGUUUGCACUCCGACGCUCAAGUUAGGUCACAGAACCACCAACAAAAAUAAUCUCACUCAAUCUCUUUCUGAUUCUCUCUCUAUGUUUGUGCCUAACAGAAUUCUGUUACGCUAUUCUUUGCGUGUGUCAGAAUUCUGUUACGCUAUUGUGCGAAAAUGUACCACAAUGAGUAAAAACGUGGGUGUCUGUGUUUUCUGUGUGUACCUUUCACGACGCGGAGUGCACCUUUAUCUUGGCCGCGCCCCUCUCAGAUGGUGACACGUGGAGGCAUGCAACUCACAUCUAAACGUACACGUGCCACUACCUGAAGGGCUCUAGCGCAUCUCUUUGUGCGCCUAAGUUAUUCCCUUGCGGAGUAACUUAGCGCGUUUCUUCCAUCUGGGUGAAUCGCACACUCCCAGGAGAACGCCAGGUGUGGCUGGACUAGGCACACUCACCAAGCAUUUCUCUCUGCAUACACGAUUUCCCCUUCACGAUGUCAUACACGUAAUGGGUUAAGAGAGUCACCANNNNNNNNNNNNNNNNNNNNNNNNNNNNNNNNNNNNNNNNNNNNNNNNNNNNNNNNNNNNNNNNNNNNNNNNNNNNNNNNNNNNNNNNNNNNNNNNNNNNUGACUAGUUUACUAACUCCCUCAGGCCACUCUCGUGCACGAUUCUUCCGGCGAGCAGCUCCUCUUUCUCUGAGAUAUGAUCAUGCGUAACGCUCUCGCUGGGACUCUCAGUCCCAGUUUAACUGCGUGUAACACGAAACCCCGAUGACCAUGCACCCGAUGACUGAUCAGUGCUCUAUUGCUUCUCGCGUUCUCCCCCGGGUGUUUAUCUUGGAACUGAUCUGUCGUGGCCACUCGGUUACUGACCACCGAUCACUGUACUGGGUGAUCUCCUCCCUGAUUUCUCUGCCACCUGAUCCACGUGUCACCCUGCGAGUGGUCCACGUGAUUAUCUGCUGUUGACGUCAUCGACUACCGAUGACCGACCGGAUCAGCACGAAUAGGGAGAAUGCAAAUUUCCCAAAAAAAAUUCUUUAUUGAAGAUAACGAUUUUAAUUUACCAAAAAUUCACAUGCCCAAAAAAUAUAUCUUCUAAUUUAUCUUUUUUAUAAUUUUUAUAUUUUCAAUUAACUAUAAAUUAUCAGAUAUAUAAAUUAUCAAUAUAUAUUAAAUAUCAAAUAUUAUAUUUAAUUAAAAUGUAAUACUAUAAAAUUAUUAAAAAAACAAUUUAAAGAUUAAAAUAAUUAAUUACUAUAUUAAUUAAAUUCGAUAUUAUUUUAUAAAAUAAAAAUUAUUGAUAUCUAAAUUAAUUUAUAAUAAAAUAUUAUAAAUUAAUUUUUAAAUUGAUAUUUAAAUUAGCUAGUAUCUAAAAAUUUAAUAAUUAAUUAAAUACUAAUUUAUAAAUUAAUUUAUUAAUAAUAUAAAUUAUUUUAGAUAUCAAUAAUUUUUUUACUUUAUAAAAUAAUAUCUUUAUAAAUAUUAAAUUUAGUUAAUAUAUUAAUUAAUUAUUUUUUGCUUUUAAAAAUAGUUUUUAUUUAAUAUUUUUAUUGUAACAAUAUUCUUUUAUUUUAUAAAAUUCAUGAAUUUAUUUUUUUCUUAAUUUUAGUCCUUUAAUUUUUAAUUAUCUAUGAUCUCUGAACUUAUCUUUUACGUAAUUUUAAUCAAUUCAUUUUUAAUUAUUUUUAAACUUAUUCGAUUUUUAUUUUAAAAAUAUAUAAAUUAUAUUUGGAAAUAAUUUUAUGGAGUUAUUACUCUUUUCAAUACUAUGUCAUAGCUAAAGUAACAAAAAAAAUUAUGUAUAAUUUAGCUAAAAUUAAAGAAGGUUAUAUAAUUAAAAAUUAAAAUUGUGUAAAAAGUUUAGAAAAGAAUAAAGAUAAUUAAAAAAUAAAAAGACUAAAAUUUCAGGAAAAAAACUAUCAACUAAAAUUGAAAUUUUAUAAAAUAUAGAGAUCAAAAUUAUAAUUAAAGAAAAAUAUAAUUAACUAUAACAAAAAAAGUUAAAUAUUACGUUAAAUGUGUUACUUAUUAUAUUGCUCUAAUACCUACUUAAAACAUGUACAUGUAUAAAAUUGUUGGUUUUAUUCACAGUGGGAGGAGUAUUUUAUAAAAUUUGGUUAGUUAUUUUGUUAACAUCUUAAUCUUAAUUAAUAUGGUAUAAUCUUUAAAGUUUGAAUUUUGUUCUAUCUCAUAAGUGUUCUUGCCAGUUGAAUUCGGACUCAAUGGGCAAACUCCUCUUCUGUUUUGUCUCCAACUGUUACUUUGAGGUGUCGUUUCACUGGAACAAAUGGGACUCUACCUGUUGAUCACACUCCGACGAUUAAGUCAAUGAGAGCAUUCAAAUAUCAAAUCAGUUUCGGUCUUAAGUAUUCAGAAACAGCGUACCUUUACCGGGGGUUUCAAGCCCCUUUUAUAGAUAUUGUUCCUGUCGGUUGACUCGAAGUGCCUUCAUGCGCCUACGUCACUCUUUCGUUCAGAAUCUUUGCAUUUGCACGUGCCAUUCCUGUGAUGAAUGCCUGAAAACACAAAGACAAGGGGCGCCCUAGAGGCCGUUUGCACUCUGACGCUCAAGUCAGUAUUAGGGUUAGGAAACACCGAAAUUGUGUUACUGUCACUGUAUGUGAUUAAGCGAUGCAAAAUGAAUAGCGUACCUUGCCAAGUUUGUUACCUUACUAUUUAUAGACUGAAACUAGGGUUUUCUCUUUACCCAAAAUGGGCUUUUCCGAUGGGGCGGGCCCAACACUAUUGUUACCCUACUCUUAGGAUAACCUAGCGCGUGGGGUCCCUAACUAGAGUGCAACCUCUGACGGGGUGACCACCUGGGUGCCUCCUCGUGCACCUGAUCUCUAGCGUCACCUGCCUCUGGGAGUGCCCUAGCUGUUCACGUGCCAUGCAUGCAGCUCAUCCCUGGAACGCGACCCUCACGGGUCAUAUCUUUCUAGUGGCUCUACACUUGUGUUACGCUUGAACAUGUCAUCCACUCUACACGCAUGGACCCUUAUGACCUAGGCUUCUCCCUUACUGAUAACUGGUGUGUGGUCUAGGAUCCACCUCUCGUGGCCCAACUCUACUGUUUGGGUCCCGAUGUCCGACCUCUCCACAUUGUCUAGUGGCACGUCGGUACAUCUUGGCGACCGAUGUCUGACCAUCCUUUGGCUUCUUGGUGCACGUGCUUCGCGAGACACUGGCCCACGCCGCUCGUGGGACCCCGCUUACGUGGCACCAACAUUACUAGUGGUCAAAAACGCCCAAGGACUGGUCGAUACACAAGCACCCCAGUCUCGAGUUGUAACUCGUUCAGCGAAGAGACUAAAUCCUUGCCAUGGUGACCUACGUGGCUCUGUGUGACAGGACGUGAAUGUUGCACCAAAGCGACGUCUUUAUGGGCCUGUCUUAUCCGCGCACAUGUGUUUUGAUCAACAGUUAGGGCUUAAUGUCACUUACGCUUUUUUGUUUUCUUUAAACGUUCGAAAGCGCGCACAUCCAAUCACUGUUCUAUCAUUCGCUGAAACUCUCGAUUGCUUCGUCUUCUUCCUCGAGUAUUCUUGCGCCUACACAUUCCAAGAUCUUCUUGCUAUCUGAUUAAAGGUAUGAACUUUGACUAUUGUUCACACUCACUUUCAAUUCUGAUGUUGGAUAACUGCCUGGGCUGUUUAAUCUUUGUAUUUCAAUCGCUCUCUGUUCCUUUUCCCUGAGUUUCCUUCGAGUUAGGGUUCAAGAAACCCGGGACUCUGGCGGAGCUAACUCUUGUUAUCGUAAUGUUGUGUUUGUGCACUCUACCUCGGUGCAUUUGCAUGUUUUAUCUCUAUGUUUCUUCUGAAAUUUGCACGCAGGUAUGGUUCUGAGUGAAGAGAAGCGAGCCAAACUGACUAAUAUCCUCGCUCACCUCUGCGGAAUUUCUAGGGAUGUGGGCACUUCUAGCCACCAUGCCCUUGCUUCUGCCACCGCCGCGCCUUCGCCCACUCUUGGAGUCGCGAUCCCUCUCGUCGCCGCCCAAUCGUCUCCCGCUCCAUUCCGCCGAAGGGCCAAUCUUUAAAAGGCCCAAGCCUACGCCGGCGAUGGCCUCCCAUUCCUCUUCUAUCGGUCGCUCGAUUUCGCCCCUGGAUCACACGACCAGCGUUCCCCUGCUCCCUGACCUUGGUGGGACGAGUGCUUCUGCGACUCCUCCUGCCCUCGAGCUGCCCCUUGUCCUUCAGCCUGCCCUUAAAGGCUUCCAACUAGGGGUGACUGUGGACUCGGAUGAGGUCGCUGCGAGGGAAGACUGGGCUUCAAUUUUGGGGCUCUUCUUGCUCAGUCCAACGCUCUCCUAACCAGGCCUGAACCGGGAGUGGUAGAGGCCAAGACUGAAGAAGAAACAUCCCUGCUGGUUCAUUCCUUUGCUGCCCGCGAGACUGCACUGAAAUAGGAGUUGGCUCGCCUUCGCCGUUCUGAAAAAGAUCUCUCUAAGCAACUUCACGCCAAGUGCCAAGAGGUUGCUGACCUGGAGGCAAGAGUUCUGCCCUUGCGAAUCUGGGUCUUCGAGCUAUAAGAGGCUGUUGAGGUGUCCAAGUCCAAGAUUGUGGGGCUUGAAAGAAGGUCCAUCAGUCGAGAGGUGCAACUGGGUCAAGUGGAGGCCGAACUCCUUCAACAAGCUAAGAGGUUUGAAGAAGCUGAGGCUGAGCUGACCGGAGAUGUUCUCGAUGCCUAUGAUGCGGGAUUCGGAGAUGCCCUCGCUCAAGUUGCUUGCGCAUAUCCUGGGAUGGAUAUUACGCCUUUCACGACAUCAAACCGUGUUGCAAACGAGCAAAUCGUUCCCAGGGUCCUUCCUUAACUUGUAUUUGGUUGUUAGACAAACAAUUUAUUAUCUGCUCAAAACUUUACUUUCUCGAACAUAUAGCCGCUUUCAUUUCCUUAAAUCUAAAACUGCUCUUUAACUUGCUUAACUGCUAACUCAAGGUGUCUGGCACCAAGACGCUUCUUCUAGCGUUCUGUUGUAUGCUCCCCUCAUCAUGAGGAGGGGGUUUUAACUGUGAACUAGGUCGUUCCUCCUUGGCGUUCUUGCUUGAAAGGAGAGGUGUUCUUUACGAACCUACUUCUCUACUUUCAAGGCCUCUAACCGCAAGGGGAACAAACACUUAGUUGACCUCGGCUUCGCUCAAAGGCGCGGAGGAUUUAUCUGGUGAAUUAUUUCGUUUAACUUUGGCGUUUUCACUCAAGAGGGGAUGUGUUCUCUUACGAACCUACCUCUCCGUCCAUAAGACUUCUAACGCGAGGAAAACAAAUCCUUAACUGAUCUCGGCUUCGCUCAAGGGCGAGGAGGAUUUAUCUCACGAACUAUUUCGUUUAACCUUAGCAUUUUCACUUAAGAGGGGAGGUGUUCUCUCGCGAACCUACCUCUCCGCCCACGAGACUUCUAACGUAAGGAAACAAGUUUUUACUGAAUUGUACAUAACUCGAGAAAAUAUUUCAAUCAAAAUUUGUCUGGUGACCUCGUUAAAAAACCAAAAAGAGCGUCCCCUAGUACCAUGUACAACGUUACUGCUUAACUAAAAUAAAACUUGAAAUUGGCCGCGUUCCAUGUGCGAAGAAUUGGGCCUCUGCUUAAGCGUCCCAAGUCUGCAUGCUUCGUCCCGAGGACCUCUGUUACUCUGAAAGAGACAGUCAAUACGGGGAAGGCCUGACAUGAAACCAAGGGGGUUGCCUUCUCUAAUACCUGGUGUCUUUCCUCGGGUCCUUGGCAUACUCUCCCCACCAGGUAUAUGUUCACUGUAUGCGAUUAAGCGGUGCAAAAUGAAUAGCGUACCUUGCCAAGUUUGUUACCUUACUAUUUAUAAACUAAAACUAGGGUUUUCUCUUUACCCGAAACGGAAUUUUCUGAUAGGGCAGGCCUAACACUGUUGUUACCCUACUCUUAGGAUAACUUAGCGCGCGGGGUCCCUAACUGGAGUGCAACCUCUGACGGGGUGACCACCUGGGUGGCUUCUCGUGCACCUGAUCUCUAGGGUCACCCGCCUCUGGGAGUGCCCUAGCUGUUCACGUGCCAUGCAUGCAGCUCACCCCUGGAACGCGACCCUCAAGGGUCAUAUCUUUCCAGUGGCUCCACACUUGUGUUACGCCUGAAUGCGUCAUCCACUCUACACGCAUGGACCCUUGUGACCUAGGCUUCUCCCUUACUGAUAACUGGUGUGUGGUCUGGGAUCCACCUCUUGUGGCCCAACUUUAGUGUUUGGGUCCCGAUGUCCGACCUCUCCACAAUGUCUAGUGGCACGUCGGUACAUCCUGGCGACCAAUGUCUGACCACCCUUUGGCUCCUUGGCGCAUGUUCUUCGUGAGAAAAAUUAAUGCGGAAGCAACACACACAAUCAUGAAUCAACUGCAGAAAAUAAAUGACACAAGAUUUAACAUGGUUCGGUCGUCAACUACAACCUACAUCCACACAGGUAACUAUUAGGUUUUAUUUCUUUCCUGUUGCGUACAAAAUUACAAGCAUAAUGAUCUCUUUAAAUAGAGAUAAUAAAGGGGACACAAUGAUUGACUUCACUAACUAAACAUGGUGUCUAGUUAGCCCAACCCAAUUGGUCCUGGUUUUAUACCUAACAAUCUCCCACUUGAAGCCACGUAACAAUGUUCACCUGCGCUUCAACUUUGUACAUGUACUUCUGUAAUCUGCCAACGGAACUCAAUGUUCCACCACUAGUUGCCACCAGCCUUCUUAAUCAUUUUGAAGACUUCAUUAAAACUCCCUUGAUUUUAACACGUCAGUCACUAACCCAUUCUCUGUUUCUAUCGGCUCCCACUUACAAGAAUUGUCAGAUCUUGGAACAACCUGAGAACAAACACUUUCAAUAUUCAACAAGAAAUUUUUUGGAGAAGUUUCAAUAGCUGGAAUAUUGGUUCUCCUAACCCACUGUCAUCUAGGAACCUCAGCUGAAGCACGACCCGUGCUUCCACUGCCACAAGUACCUCUGACUGGUCUACCUAAACUUUUCCAUGCUCGUUCAUCCUGAAUCUGACCUGUGGCUCUGGGUUUCUCUCUUGUAAAGACAACCCUCUUCUACUCAUGAGAUUAUGUGAACAGAACUUUGUUUAUCUUCUGAACUGGGAUGGUCACUUCCUCAGACGGUAAUUCGACCAUAUACAACGAACCUCUCUUUCUUCCGCGGGUCAUGACAAGAUUUCCCUUGACGACCUUCCACUGCUGAUUUUCGAACUUCACUUCAUGUCUCUGUUCGUCCAACUGCCUAACAGAAAUCAAACUUUUCGUCAAGCUUGGAACAAUUCUGACAUCCUUCAAAGUUCAGGAACCAACUAGUGUCUUCAACAUUAUGUCACCCAUUCCCGUAACAUCAAGAGUUCUAUUGUCUGCUAGUCUUACCUUUCCAAAGUCUCUAAUAACUAGAUUUUGCAAUGCUUCACUGCUGUGGGUAACAUGAAAUGAAGCACCAGAAUCCAUGACCCAGGAAUCCACACUGUUAUCCGCGCAACAGACUAAAAGGUCCUCGUCCGUGUAGUCUUCUGCAAUGUUGACUUGUUUAUCAUUUGGGCAUUGAUUCCUGAAAUGCCCCACCUCCUUGUAGUUCUAACAUGUUACACUUGAGCAAUCCCGAGUCUUUGACUGAAUUCUUCUUUUAUUCUUGCUCCAAUUAUCUUUGAUUUUUUUUUUACAUCUGAUGACAUAUAACGAUUAACUAGAUAAUUCCCCAUAACUCCUUUUCCAGACAUCCUCGCCAAGAAUGAGAUCACGAAUCUUCUCAAAAGUGAAUCCAUCAGAUCCCGCUGAACUAGUAAGUGUUGUAACCGUUCUGGACCAACUGUCAGGCAAAGACGAUAACAGUAGUAAAGCUUGAACUUCAUCAUCGAACUUAAUACCCACUGACAUAAGUCCGGCUAAGAUCGAAUCCGUUUUAUUGAUGUGCUCAGUAAAUGAAUUGUCUUCUUUCAUCCUUGUGUUCACCAAUUCUCUAAUCAAAAACACCUUGUUUGCUGCAGAUGGCUUCUCAUACAUGUUAGGCAAUGCUUCCAUGAUACCUUUUGUUGUCUUCUCCUUCAGAAUGUUGAACACAACAUUCUUGGUCAAAGAGAGUCGAAUAACGGGUAUAGCCUUCCGAUCCAAACCUGCCCACUCUGCAUCAAACAUCUUUUCUGGCUUGUCGCCCAAAACCACGUCCAAAUCUUUCUGAACUAGCAAAUCCUCAAUUUGCAUUUUCCACCAACUGAAAUUUGUACAAUCGAAUUUUUUAAUUCAGAACCUCCCGUCUUCUAUCAUCUCAAAUGACUAGACGAGAUACUCGGUACAACUAAUUUCAGAUCUUGGCAAUCUUUUUUUUUUAAAAAAUCAAGAACACAAAAAUUGCACCACCCAAAAUCACUCACCAACAGACCUGGUCAUAGUCCCCACUGCACUAGCGCUUCGCACCACCACCGUCACUGGUAAUCGCCUUCGUGAAGCAGAUCUGGGAGCCUCCUCCUUACACCGCUAUGAAACCCUAAGCCUUGGGACAUUGAUGCAGCCCCUGCGAAACCCUAGCUUUGGGACGUUGUUGUCGCCUCUGCGAAAUCCUAGCUUUGGGAUGCUGUUGUCGCCUCUGUGAAACCCUAGCUUUGGGACGGUAUUGCUGCCAUUGCGAAACCCUAACUUUGGGACGCUACUGCAACCGCAAUUUUCACGUCUCGUCGAUUAAUUUCUGCUGAUCGGAUCUCUAGUGUGUAAACGAACCAAAGCUCUUGAUACCACUUGAUGUGAAAAAUGCACGCAGAAGCAACACAGACAAUCAUGAAUCAACUGCAGAAAAAUAAACGACACAAGAUUUAACGUGGUUUGGUCGCCAACUGCAACCUUCAUCCACACGGGAAACUAUUAGGUUUUAUUUCUUUCCUGUUGCGUACAAAAUUACAAGCACGAUGAUCUCUUUAAAUAGAGAUAAUAAAGGGGACACAAUGAUUAAGCCCACUCACUAAAUAUGGUCUCUAGUCAGCCCAACCCAAUUGGUCCUGACUUCAUAUCCAACAACAUUUGCCUUGGCUUGCUUGGUCGAUGAUAAGGCCCAAGAUCGCCAGGCAUCCGAAGAACAAAAGAACAAAGAGAUCCUGGAGCUCCAAAAAGGGAUGGACUACAUUCAAACGAAGAAUAACCAACUCAAGGACCUACACCAAAAAGUUGAACAUCUCUACACUAAGAAGACCCAAGAGGCACUGGCUCUGUCCGUGAGAGGAACAAGCUUUUGGGCGAGAUAGAAAACCUGAAGAAGGAGAUGGCACACAAGGAAGAAGAUUCCACCAAGAUGAUUGAAGCCCUCAAAGACGAUGCUACCCGAUCCUUCUUGGCUGGCUUUGAAACGGCCUUGGAACAAGCAGCCAUAGUGUAUCCAACCCUAGAUCUUUCCGCCUUAAACCUAGAAAAGACCGUGGUCGACGACCAAUUAAGGAGGAAUAACUUUAACUUUUAUGGUCUGUAAUAUGUUAACUCAUCUUAACACUUUAACAAUUUGAACACUUUAUGUUUAUCAUCACCUUACUUAUUUUUUAUUUCUUGCCUUUGAAUCGCUUUGUCAUGUAUAACUAUUUUGAGACCUUUACAAAUGCACACCUCGUUACUUAACUUAUCUUAACAAAAAUCAUAUAGCGAGCCUCUCCUAGCUUAAAUAUGAAAAUAACAAUUUUCUUUCCUAAUUGCAAUUGCCCUUACGCAACUACUAUCAAUACACAUGCAAAUACCUUAUCACUUACACUAAUUCAUCUCUACAUUCUGAGCGUGAAGUAAUAAGUAUAACGAAAAUCUAACUUGGGUAAGGCUAAGCAUGAAAAACCAUGGAAUUCUCACUUAACAGAGAACUAACCUUUCGAUGAACCAUAAACCCAUAGCUUAAACGAGCUUAUAUUCAAUCUCGACUUGCACAUCUUUGUUUCACAAACUUGGGCAAAGGCCGCAUAUCAUGAAUUCUCUGAGCCUUAAUCCGCAGAGCACCUACUCGGAUAAUCGUAAUUGCUACGAGCUCAGUCAUCUUACCCACGUAUAUAAUCGAAGGAUUCCACUACAUGUCAUCUAAUAAUUUCACAGAGCGCCUAAACUCGGGUGAUUGUUCUUACGCCAAGUUAGGUCGUCUUACCUUACAUCAAAUCAAACAAUUUAGUCAUAACAAAUCAGUUUGCAGAGCGCCUAUACUCGGGUAGUCGUUCUUACGCCGAGCUAGGUCAUCUUACCUUGCCAAAUACUUCAUCUAUAUCAAUUUUAUGUACAGGCGCCUAUACUCGAGUAAUCGCACUGAUGUCGAGCUAGGUAGUCUUAGCUGUUACUAGAUAACCAAUUUACGCAUAGGGCGCCUAUACUCGGGUAGUCAUAUUGACACCGAGCUAGGUCGUCUUACCUGACCCCAAACCAAGUGAACCACUAGGCAAACCAGUCUCACAGUGCGCCCCUGCUCGGGUACACGUACUAACAUCGAACUAGGUCUUCUUACCUUGUGCUAACUCGAGUAAAUCAACAAACAAAGUACUCUCACAUGGCGAUUAUGCUCAGGUGAGCUAGGUCAACUUAUCGUGUGCUAACUCAAGUAAAUCAACAAACAAAAUACUCUUACAGGGCGCCUAUGCUCGGGUAUACGUACUUACACCGAGUUAAGUCGACUUACUGCGUGCUAACUCAAGUAAAUCAACAAACAAAGUACUCUCACAGGGCGCCUAUGCUCGGGUAUAUGUACUUACACCGAGCUAGGUGGACUUACCGUGUGCUAAGUCAAGUAAAUCAAUAAACAAAGUACUCUCACAGGGAGCCUAUGCUCGGGUAUACGUACUUACACCAAGCUGGUCGACCUACCGUGUGCUAACUCAAGUAAAUCAACAAACAAAGUACUCUCACAGUGCGCCUAUGCUCGAGUAUACAUACUUACACCGAGCUAGGUCGACUUACCAUGUGCUAACUCAAGUAAAUCAACAAAACUAAUGCACCAUCUUCCACGUACAAAUUUAUCACUAGAUGACCUCGUUAAAAAACCCUUUCAAGGAAAAAAAAGCAUCAUCUUAAACAUCACAUUGUUAAAAAGAAAGCAUUAAAAUGAGAUGUCUUAUCUGAAGUAAAACUUGAGGUUUUCCACGUUCCACGUUCGGGGAAUGGCUCCCCAUUCCAGGGUUUCCAGCCUAUACGCUCCAUUCCCAAGCACCUCGACUACGCGAAACGAGUCAGUCCUCUUCGGAGAUAACUUGUUUUCUAACUCGUAGGAAUGGGCCUUUCGCAUCACCAAGUCGGCAACCUUGAAUUGCCGAGAUUUCUUCUUGGUCUUUUGCUUUAGCUCCACCCUUCUCUUUAAAGCCUUUGAGUUAAUACGGGCAUGUUCGCGUACCUCAUCCAACGAAUUCAGGUUUACCAUCCUUCAUUCGUUAAAUUCCUCAACAACGAAGCUUUGGAACAAAAGAGAAUUCUCUUGUAUUUCCACUGGUAUCAUGGCGUCUGACCCAUAUACCAAACUAAAGGCAUCUCUUUGGUUGUUGAUUUCGGGGUGGUAUGAUAAGCUCACAGGAUUCUGGGAAUUUCUUCUGACCAAGUUCCCUUGGCCUUUUUUGACCUCCUAUUCAAUCCUCUAAAUAGGAUUCUGUUAGCUGACUCAACCUAGCCAUUCGUCUGAGGGUGUUCCACCAAGGCAAAAAUCUGCUUUAUUCCGAGCUCCGAGCAGAGCUUACCUUACUGUUGGCUAAAAAAUUGGGUUCCAUUGUCGGGCACUGAGUGCCUCGGAAUCCCAAAACGGCACACAAUGUUCUUCCGUACGAAAUGUUGUACCCUGUGAGCAGUUAUUUGUGUAACUGACUCGACUUCAAUCCACUUGGUGAAGUAUUCAAUUCAUCUGGCGUAUCGCCAAAGGGAAAGGGCCUAAAAUGUCUAUUUCCCACGUGUGAAAAGGCCACGAGCUAUAAAUUGACUGUAACUCCUCGGUUGGCGCAUGGUGCCAAUCAGCAUGCUUCUGACAUUUCUCACAACGUUGUGCAUAUUUCACGCAAUCCUCCUUCAUGGUCGGCCAAUAAUACCCAGCUCAGAUGACCUUCAACGAGAGAGUUCAUCCUCCUAUGUGGCUACCGCAAAUGCCUUCAUGGAGCUCGGCCAUUAUGUAGACGCACUGAUCUCCACUUACACAUGUGAGGAUUGGGUGGGUAUAACCGUGACGAAAAAGAUUGCCAUCUAUUAGGGUAUACCGCCCUGCAUUCCUCUUAACCAUCUUGGCCUCCAUGGGCUCGGUAGGAAGUUACCCAUCAGCUAGGUAACGCUUGUAGGGUGUUAUCCAAGUCUCUGUGGUGUCAACUUGUAAAACCUCAAGAAACUCAUUCUCCAAUAACCCGUAGGUGGUUACUCUUGGGACUUUCAGGGUUCCCUGAGUCAUCGACCGAUACCUUCUCCUUUUUCCUGAGUUGAUCCCUAAGACCACGUGGCUGACCUGGGUUGGUCCUCUUUUAGCUGUUCUGGGCAACUUUAAUGUCUCCUAGAUCACUGACCUCUGCCCACCUCCCUUCCCUGAGCUGGCUAGCUUAGACAACAUCUUUGCUUGGGAGUUCAGCUAUCUGGGAAUGUGAACAAGGUCGAACGUAGAAAAGGCUUCUUUUAAGAUCAUUAUGUACCUUGGAGUUCUGCUCUUGGAUCUGCUCCUACUCUCGUCUGUUCUCCUCAUUCGCCUCUUGAAGGGCCUUCAUGGUAUCCAUGAGUUGUUGUAAGACAGGGGCAUCGCUUCCUUCAGAUCCCUACGGGCCUUACCUUGUGUUUCUCAUCACGUCAAAAGGUUCAAUCACGAAUGUGGAUGAGAUAAAGUUUUAUCGGGCCCCACGGUGGGCACCAAAUGUUCUCACCGGUUGACUUCGGGCGGACUGAAUGGACAAGCUCCACUUCUGCUUUGUCUCCAACUGUUGCUUCGCUUCACUUGGACAAAAGGGGCUCUACCUGUUGAUCACUCCGAUGAUCAAGUUAGUGAGAGAAUUCAAAUAUCAAAUCAGUUUCAGUCUUAAGUUUUCAGCAACAACAUACCUUUAUCGGAGGUCUCAAGCCCAUUUUAUAUAUAUCCUCUCUUCAGCUUCUACUAAUGAGAGUAUAAUCUCAACAUAAAGCAUAUAACCAUAACAGAAAAACCAAAUGUUCAAGUGCACCUCUUAUCUUCGGGUGCUAACAACAAAAAAAUAUUUUGUUUACAUGUGCACCAUUAUUCUCGGGUGCUAACAACAUUAUUCUCAACAACCUUUAUUUGUAUUUAACUAACAUUUGUAUUAUAACCAAAAUAAAAUACUUCUUUUUAUUUUUCCUAAGCUGACUACCAAUAUCUAAGCCAAACUCAUGACCCACCCUUUGCGUCCACACUCACCCAAAGUCGAGCUGACUACACCCAAAUGUUUGGACCGAGGUCCCGAGUACUUUGUUCAAUAUAAUAAGCAUAUUUUUAUUUUUCCUGAAAUUCUGGUUAAUUUUGUUAAAAAAAAUCUACGUGUUAAUAAUUAAUAGGUUGUGACUCUUUACAUAAGUUAUAUUCUUAAUUAAUGAUGAGCUACACUCUCAUUUAAUAUAAGAUUAAGCUAAGUACAUAUACAUGUAUAAAAAUUAAUAAGUAAUAAAAAUAUCAAUAAAUAUUACAUUAAUUUUUUUUAUUUAUUAUAUAAAAUUUAAUUAACAAUAAAAAUAUCUAUAAAUAUUGCAUUUAUUGGCCAUAAAUGUUGCAUUUAUUUAUCAUAUUUUUUAUUAAAUAAAUAAAUACGGCAUUUCUCAUAUACAUUAUAUAAAAAAGUAUAUUAUUAAAUAAAAGUUAAUACUUAAAAACAUUUACAAUGCGAAGAGUUUUACAACAUCAAUAUCAUUGUAAAAUAAUUUGUUUGACAUUGUAAAAGAAUUUUGAACGAGUUUUUAUAAACAAUUGUUAUAUUUUUAAUGUAUAGUUGUGUUAUUCUUAAUUUUUUUUUACCUAUUAUUGUUUAUUUUAAUUUUAUAAAAAUAAUUAUUUAUUGUACUAUUUUCAAUAUUUUUUAAUUUUUUAUGUAAUUUAAAUUAACAAAAAUAACAUUAUAAAUUAAAGUAACUAUCAUGUGGAAAUUGUAAAAAAAUAUGUAAUAAAACAGUUUAAAUUGGAAACUAAAAAAUUUAAAUUUCUAAAAAAAUAAUUAAUUAAUUUGAUUAAUACACAUUACAUCUACUCAUUUAAAUAAACCAACUUGACCAAAUCAAAAUAUCCUAUACAACUUUUAAAAAAUAACAAUACUACAAAAUUUAAUAACAAUUUAAUUCUUUUAAAAAAUAUAAAAUUGUAAAUACAUAAUAAAUAUAUUUUAUUUAAAAUUUUAUUUAUAUAAUUAUAUCUUUUAUAUUAUUUUUACAUUUAUUAACUACUUGAUCAUGUAAUUUAUCAUACACUUAUAAUCCAGUAAAAUAAAUUAUCAAUUUCAAACUUAUAAAUUGGACAUUCAUCAUCUAGUACUAGUUUAUCAAUUAAUAAAUAUAUUUAAGUAAACAUUUUUUUAUUAUGUUAGAGCCUAAAGCUUACAAAUUUGAGAUAAACAAUAAAAAAAAUUUAUAUAGUAUCAAAAGUUGUUUGGGUGGGCUAAUAAAGAAUAUUAAACUAAAUGUAUCAGUAUCAUGAUCAAUUCAUAGACUGUUUAGACAGAAAGAGGAAAAGUAAAAAAAAUAAAAAUGGCUUUCAACAUUGUAGGUUUUCCACAACUAAGAAUGUAGGCUUUUUGAGCAUUGUGAUGACACUUCUAUGUUUGUUUGCCGAGUAGGAUUUCCACAACCAAUUUUCAUCAUCAUUUAUUGAUGUGGAACGUGUUUAUGUAUGUUUCGGUGUUGCUUGUCUUUUUGAAUUUAAGAUAUAAGACACAAACUCAUCAUGAACACAAUAUUUCCUUUGCAAAGGACAAAACAUCACCACAUAUGAAAGCUAUGGCCAAUAAAGAUGUGCCAAAAGUUAGAGACGAGAAUGUGGACCAGUACACUGGAAUUUGGUCCGCCC
rnacentral:lncRNA from 1 species